rnacentral:rRNA from 1 species
GUGGGGAAUCUUGCGCAAUGGGCGAAAGCCUGACGCAGCCAUGCCGCGUGAAUGAUGAAGGUCUUAGGAUUGUAAAAUUCUUUCACCGGGGACGAUAAUGACGGUACCCGGAGAAGAAGCCCCGGCUAACUUCGUGUCAGCAGCCGCGGUAAUACGAAGGGGGCUAGCGUUGCUCGGAAUUACUGGGCGUAAAGGGCGCGUAGGCGGACAGUUUAGUCAGAGGUGAAAGCCCAGGGCUCAACCUUGGAAUUGCCUUUGAUACUGGCUGUCUUGAGUACGGGAGAGGUGAGUGGAACUCCGAGUGUAGAGGUGAAAUUCGUAGAUAUUCGGAAGAACACCAGUGGCGAAGGCGACUCACUGGCCCGUUACUGACGCUGAGGCGCGAAAGCGUGGGGAGCAAACAGGAUUAGAAACCCCAGUAGUCC